AGGCAAUAUUUUUAAGUUUUAUGUUAUUAUAAAGUAUAUUAACUGUUCCAUUUUCUACAAUAUUAAUAUUUUUCUUUCAUUUUAGAUAUAUCUCGAAUAGUUGUAAAAAAUUUACCUAAAGAUAUUACUGCCAAGAAAUUAGAAGAGGUUUUUUCGGCAGAAGGUGAAAUAACAGACUUACAAUUAAAGUAUAACAAGCAAUUAAUUUUUCGCAGUUUGCCUUCAUUGGAUGUAAAACUGAAAAGGAAGCAACUAAUGCUAAGAAAAUCUUUCAUAAUACUUUUUUUCAUACUUCUAAAAUCCAGGUGGAGAUUUGUUCAAAUUUGGGGAACACAAAUAAGCCAAAGUCCUGGAAAAAAUCUUUAGAAUUCAAGAAAUCAAAGGAAAAAGAGCAGACAAAAGAUGUGAAUGUUAAGUCAUUGAAAAAAAUAAUGAUUUUGUACCUGAUGAAGUAAGACUGAGUUAUAUCUUAAAUUUCUUUUUCAAUUCCUAUUAUUAGAGUUCACACUC